AAGUCGUAACAAGGUCUCCGUAGGUGAACCUGCGGAGGGAUCAUUAACACGUUUUAAAACACGUUUUAACACCCAACAACCAACCACGUGAACUAUUUAACAAUCCUGGAAGAGAGAGAAUUCUGUCUCCUCACACUAAUGAUGAGUUCUUGCGCAAGUAAGAACGGUGUGUUUAGACUAGCACUGCAGUUCGCUUGCGAAUUGACUAUGUAAAGACCUUUUUCUUUCAGGCUAAAGCUCCUCUCAUCACUGGAGUGCAAACACCCCUUUCACCAUUUCUAUACCUAUUGACUGAUCUUUCUAAUUCUUUUAAGAAGAAUUGAAAACCUAAUCAAAUAUCUAUAAGCACAACUCUUAGCAACGGAUAUCUUGGUUCUC
rnacentral:misc_RNA from 1 species